CAGCAGCCACGGUAAUACCAGCAGCCCAAGUGGUGGUCGCGAUUAUUGGGCCUAAAGCGCUCGUAGCCGGGCCGGUAAGUCCCUUGUGAAAUCGGACGGCCUAACCGUUCGGCGUGCAAGGGAUACUGUCGGUCUUGAGGCCGGGAGACGUCCGAGGUACUCCGGGGGUAGCGGUGAAAUGUUCUGAUCCUCGGGGGACCACCGGUGGCGAAGGCGUUCGACGAGAACGGGCCUGACGGUGAGGGGCGAAGGCUAGGGGAGCAAACGGGAUUAGAUACCCGUGUAGUCCCUGUCUCUUAUA
rnacentral:rRNA from 1 species